rnacentral:rRNA from 1 species
GCCAUGCCGCGUGGUGUGAAGAAGGCCUUCGGGUUGUAAAGCACUUUCAGUUGUGAGGAAAAGUUAGUAGUUAAUACCUGCUAGCCGUGACGUUAACAACAGAAGAAGCACCGGCUAACUCCGUGCCAGCAGCCGCGGUAAUACGGAGGGUGCGAGCGUUAAUCGGAAUUACUGGGCGUAAAGCGCACGCAGGCGGUUUGUUAAGCUAGAUGUGAAAGCCCCGGGCUCAACCUGGGACGGUCAUUUAGAACUGGCAGACUAGAGUCUUGGAGAGGGGAGUGGAAUUCCAGGUGUAGCGGUGAAAUGCGUAGAUAUCUGGAGGAACAUCAGUGGCGAAGGCGACUCCCUGGCCAAAGACUGACGCCCAUGUGCGAAAGUGUGGGUAGCGAACAGGAUUAGAUACCCUGGUAGUCCACACCGUAAACGCUGUCUACUAGCUGUUUGUGGCUUUAAGCCGUGAGUAGCGAAGCUAACGCGAUAAGUAGACCGCCUGGGGAGUACGGCCGCAAGGUUAAAACUCAAAUGAAUUGACGGGGGCCCGCACAAGCGGUGGAGCAUGUGGUUUAAUUCGAUGCAACGCGAAGAACCUUACCUACACUUGACAUGUUGAGAAGUUACCAGAGAUGGUUUCGUGCCUUCAGGAACUCAAACACAGGUGCUGCAUGGCUGUCGUCAGCUCGUGUCGUGAGAUGUUGGGUUAAGUCCCGCAACGAGCGCAACCCUUGUCCUUAGUUGCCAGCAUUUAGUUGGGCACUCUAAGGAGACUGCCGGUGACAAACCGGAGGAAGGUGGGGA